CGGCGAGGACGACCUCGCGGCACGCAUGCCGACAUCGCUUCAAGGGGACGACCCCG
rnacentral:ncRNA from 1 species